rnacentral:lncRNA from 1 species
AAUCAACUAAGUGCAGUUUUUAUGUCUUUAUCCUCUAUAAAUUAUCUUUUUUGAAACAGUGAACGAUGAAAUGACAUGCGUUUGGAGAAUGUGUGGUGGAUACAAGAGCAUAUUAAUGUUAAACUCCAAAAAUAUUUUUAUCUCAAAGAUUGAAAACAAGAUAAAGAUGAAGGACUCUACAAAAUAGAAGUCAAUUGUGGAAGGAAAUGUCAUAUUCAACAUCUUAAUGAGGAAUAGGGUCGAGGAGUGAAAAGAAGACAGGAUUCAGUCAGAAGAGCUGAGUUCUGGUUCCUCCACAUAAUACCAUGGCUGUAGAAGUGACACAUAUUCUAAGCCUCAAUUUUUUGGCUGACUUUCCUCAUUCAUAAGGUUGUUGUGAAAAACAAAGCAAAACUAAUCAAUAUGAGUAAACUGCUAUGAAACACUGUCUAUUAUAUGUUUUCUUGAUAAACAUUUAUUGAGUGCUGUCUUUCAGUUGGUCUCCUGUGUUAGUAGCUUGUCAUACAGAGCUUCAAGAAGUCAAGCUUCAGGCCAUAGUCACAAAGAAUUCAGCUCUGAUUUGGAGAGAUAAAUAAGUACUUAGGGUGAGGUUGUGUACUAACAAACCCACUGUAAAGUCAAAAAAUUGUAAGCCAAACCGUCAAAAGUAAGAGACUGUAUAUGUAACUAUGUGUGUGUGUGUUGUUGUUUUUAAGAUGUGUUUUGGACAAACGAAAGUAAAAUCUCAUUUAAAAGAUUGAUUUUAAAAGCUUCCUCAAAGUUUUGUCAGUGCAUUAUUAGAGAUCCAGCCCAAUAUUUGUCAUCAUUUGUAUCUAUUAUUGCAGACAAUGAGAAUAAAUGUUUAC